UUCGUGAAGCGGGGGUGCCUGGCGUACGGCCGGGCUGAGAGAGUCCCUUGGAACCUGAUCCGGUUGAUACCGGCGUAGGGAGCUUCGACAGGCGCAGU
rnacentral:ncRNA from 2 species